AGCAGUAUAGCUUAGUGGAAAGAACAUGGGCCUGGAAGUCAGAGGACCUGGGUUCUAAUCCCAGUUCCACUA
rnacentral:tRNA from 1 species